GACGAACGCAGGCGGCGUGCUUAACACAUGCAAGUCGAACGGAAAGACCCUGCUUUUGUGGGGUGCUCGAGUGGCGAACGGGUGAGUAACACGUGAGUAACCUGCCCUUGACUUUGGGAUAACUUCAGGAAACUGGGGCUAAUACCGGAUAGGAGCUCCUGCUGCAUGGUGGGGGUUGGAAAGUUUCGGCGGUUGGGGAUGGACUCGCGGCUUAUCAGCUUGUUGGUGGGGUAGUGGCUUACCAAGGCUUUGACGGGUAGCCGGCCUGAGAGGGUGACCGGCCACAUUGGGACUGAGAUACGGCCCAGACUCCUACGGGAGGCAGCAGUGGGGAAUAUUGCACAAUGGGCGGAAGCCUGAUGCAGCAACGCCGCGUGCGGGAUGACGGCCUUCGGGUUGUAAACCGCUUUCGCCUGUGACGAAGCGUGAGUGACGGUAAUGGGUAAAGAAGCACCGGCUAACUACGUG
rnacentral:rRNA from 1 species